CAGAAGUGCGAAUGCUGACAUGAGUAACGAUAAUGGGGGUGAAAAACCUCCACGCCAAAAGACCAAGGGUUCCUGUCCAACGUUAAUCGGGGCAGGGUGAGUCGACCCCUAAGGCGAGGCCGAAAGGCGUAGUCGAUGGGAAACGGAUUAAUAUUUCCGUACUUGUUAUAUCAGUGAAGGGGGGACGGAGAAGGUUAUGCUAGCUUGGCGUUGGUUGUCCAAGUGAAAGUGCGUAGGGUUGAUUUUUAGGAAAAUCCGGAAAUCUACAUGCCUGAGACACGAGACGAGACACUACGGUGUUGAAGUAGCAAAUACCCUGCUUCCAGGAAAAGCCUCUAAACUUAUGAUAUAGCGAACCGUACCCCAAACCGACACAGGUGGUCAGGUAGAGAAUACUAAGGCGCUUGAGAGAACUCGGGUGAAGGAACUCGGCAAAAUCGUACCGUAACUUCGGGAGAAGGUACGCUCCUAUCUGUGAUGAGAUUUACUCUCUAAGCGGACGGGAGCCGCAGUGACCAGGUGGCUGGGACUGUUUAUUAAAAACACAGCACUGUGCAAACACGAAAGUGGACGUAUACGGUGUGACGCCUGCCCGGUGCCGGAAGGUUAAGUGAUGGGGUGCAAGCUCCUGAUCGAAGCCCCGGUAAACGGCGGCCG
rnacentral:rRNA from 11 species